UUCCCAUUUUUGGUAAUCUUAGGAACUGUGCCUGCUUGCAGUUGGUCAAUUAGGGCCUGAGGUUAUUCCGAGGUAGGUCCCUUCAGGAACCUGUUCACACUGCGAGGCUGGGGUCUUUUCACUUUAUGCAGGUUUCCAGCACUCAAGUUUGUUGCCUAAAAGCAGCCUUUACAGUGAUCUUACGACUUGCUGCUUGGGAUUCACAUCUGAAAUGGGAGGCUUGGGACAAACUGGAAUCCUUAGAACUGCUGUUUCCCUGUCUCCGUGACUUUGCUCAGGCCGGUGCCUCUCCCUGGAGUGCCUCCUGCACACUUCCUCCCGUCAAAUCCUACCUGCUGCCCGCUGCCUCUCCAGAUGCCUCCUCUAAAGCAUGGGAGAGACCAUCUUUUGGACCAUCGGUCCAUCUUUUGGAAACUUUUCCAUGACCUGUUCUGAGCCGGACAGGCGCACUUCCCGAAGUGGCCACAAGAUGACAGCAUAGACCGGGCUUCGGGACGACCUGAGGCUCCAAGUUCCAACUUCCCAGGGUCAGAGCCCUGACAGGUCAGGCCUGGUCCCCCUGAGGUGCUGCAGGAGGCUCCUCUCUCGAGGGCUGGGGGUAGUAGGCCUAAGGUGGGGUGCCUGGCAGUGACUGUGUGCCUGUUUCCUGUGCUGGCCCCUCCCAAGGUGUAUUCUGUGGUUCCUUUUCCCAGAGAAAGAACACUGGGUGGGGGGUCGGCAGGUUUUGGUCCUGGUCCUGCAUUGCAGCCUUGGGCAAGCGUCAUCUGUGGACCAGGAAAAGGCCAAUCGCAGAGUCCAAAUACACACAAAACUUCCUUUUUCUUUUCUCUCCCCAAUGGUUGCAGUAAUGCUGGGAGGCUCACCACAUUGUUUCCCUUCCUGGGAUUCAGUGGGGUCCAGAGGAGGGGCAAGGUGAGGCUCAUGGGGCACCAGAGGGCCCUGCCCCCAUCUCAAGGCCCACUUAAUCCCCCUUACUGAAGCAGGAUGAGCCCCAUCCAGCCUGAUGAAAAACACCAGGUUUCUGAAAACUCUUGUGCUGUGACCUUGAGUCAGCCACGUCACCUGUCACCCGCUGGCUGCGGCUGCCCAUCUCUGGAGGGACCGGCUGCAUUUCCUGGAUGGCCUGGCAAACGACAAGUGCCUCGCAAUGGUGAGCUGUUCUGCUGCCUUUACAAAGGAGAGAAUCCAGGUUCAGACAGGUUAAGGAACCACCCCAAGGCCACACAGCCAGUAAAGGGAUGAGUGGAAUUGCAUCCAGAGCCAGUUCCAGUCCUUCCACCUGCCCUGGGGCUGCCUCUGCCCAGGAACGGCCAGUGAGGCUGUGACCAGGUGAGUAGCUGGCCUAGAGGCAGGGAGGCUACUCCAUCUGUGCAUGCCCCCAGCAGGACAGGACCUUGUGGGCAGGGGAGGUUUUAGGGUGGCUGAUUUCAUCCCAGAAUGAGGGAGAACCUUCCAGCAGCCAGAGCUGCCCAGUCACAGAAUGGGUGAGCCCAGGGAACAGAAGUGCCCUGCCUCUUCCCAGAUGUUGCAGUGCCCCCCUGUUGAACCUGGCAUUCACUCAGCGUUGAAGGUCCGCCGGCACAGUCUCUUUCCCCCUCCAGCCUCCUCUUGCUCCCCUGUCCUCAUUACCUUCUAUGUUCUUGCCUCUCAGACUUCUUUCAGCAACUUGCUGGGUAUACUCCUCACCUCUGGGCCUUUGCACAUGCCGAUCCCCUCUCUGUCUGGCAAGCUCACCCAUUCUGCAGGCACCGGAAGCCUUUCCUGAUGCCCCAUAAGGUCGGGGCACCUUACGUGCUGCUCAUUUAGGCUUCUCUGCUACCCCCAAAUGUGCUUCAUCACGCUGUACUGAAAUUACUGGUCUUUUCCAUAACACUGUCAGCUCCGUGGCAGGGACUACACGGUCUUGUUCUCUGGUAGUUUUUCCAGUGUGCAGAGUCCAGCGAAAUGUCUCCUUUGGUGUUCAAGAAAAGCUUGUUGAAAGGAUGAAUGAAUAAUGAGUGAGGCUCCUGUUCUUUGCUCAAGUCCCCAGGAACUGGACAUUCGGAGCCACAGUUCGCAAGCAUUUGGUAAGCAUCCAGGUACCCCGCUGGGCGCUGUCACCUGUAUUCUCACCCAUCAAAUAAGCAGGGACAGAUGAAACGUUUUCAGCGGACACCGGCUGGUAGGUUUCAAUCCCUGCCUGGAAUAGUUGGCACCUUGGUCCCCGGAACUGGCCAUGUGGGUCCCCGCCCUGCGCUCUCGCAGUCCCCGCGCCGGCUGCGCUCCCGGGAUGCGCUUCCCGAGAAGGCCAGCAGAUGGCGGCAGACGCUAAGAGGCGAGGCUCAGCCCGCGCCGGCCUGCCCCUGACCGCCGGCAGGGGGCACUGCUGCUCGCCCGGCACGAGGCCGGGUCUCAGGUUGACCAACCCGCGGGGAGGGGGCGCGCGCAGCCGGGAGUGGGUCCGAACCGCAGCCCGGGAGCCAGGCUGUGUGGCACCCUCGUUCUUCCUCCCUCGUUCUUCCUCCCUCGGACAGUGCGUUCUUAACCUCUGCUUUAUAGGCUUUGCAGGCAAGCUUGAUUUGGGAAGGGCCAGAUGGCAAGUAUUUCAGGGUUUCGCUGGCCCUAUAGUCUCUGCGCAAGUCCUCAACUCUGUCCUUGGCCUGUGACACAGCUCGUGGACAAAUGGGCGUGCUCAUGUUCCCAUCAAUCUCCAUGGACAUCGAAAUGUGAAUUUCAUGCAGUUUUCAUGUGUCAUGAAAUAUUGUGCUUUUUAAAUCUUCUAUAAAGCUACCUAAAAAUGUCAAAACCUUUCUUUGCUCUUAGAUGGGGCCACCCCUGGUCUCAGU